UAUCUCUGUAGAGUCUGCAUAUCAAUAAGCGGAGGAAAAGAAACUAACUAGGAUUCCCUCAGUAACGGCGAGUGAAGCGGGAAGAGCUCAAAUUUGAAAUCUUCAAGGUUCUACCUUGACGAAUUGUAGUUUAAAGAAGUGUUUUCUGUUGGAGUUUUGGUAAAAGUUCUUUGGAAUAGGACAUCAUAGAGGGUGAGAAUCCCGUAUUUGACCAUUAUUUCCAGCUUUGUGAUACACUUUCAAAGAGUCGGAUUGUUUGGGAAUGCAGUCCAAAAUGGGUGGUAAAUUUCAUCUAAAGCUAAAUAUUGGCGAGAGACCGAUAGCGAACAAGUACCGUGAGGGAAAGAUGAAAAGAACUUUGAAAAGAGAGUUAAACAGUACGUGAAAUUGUCAAAAGGGAAGCGUUUGACACCAGUGUUGUUUUCUCGAAAAUCAACCUUGUAAAGGCAUUAUGUAUGUUUGUUUAGACUUUAUCAGCUUAACUUCACUCUUUCUUGUCUUUUGAAUGGCACUUUUCAGUUUACAGGUCAACAUCAAUUUCUUUUGUUGUAAAAAUGUCAGAUGGAAGGUAGCUUUCUUUUCGGAGAAAGUGUUUAUAGCCUUUGGCCUCUGCAAUCGGAGAGAUUGAGGUCUGCAGCGUAGAUCCUUCGGGGUUAGAUACAUUUGUGCUAAGUUAUAGCCUUUCAUAGACAACUUGUUGACUAUGAUCAGUCAUGUAGCUUACUCGCUUAUGCUAUUUUACCUACGCUUAGGAUGUUGACGAUCAGCUGAGCGCG
rnacentral:rRNA from 1 species